UCUACGGGAGGCAGCAGUGGGGAAUAUUGCACAAUGGGGGAAACCCUGAUGCAGCCAUGCCGCGUGUGUGAAGAAGGCCUUCGGGUUGUAAAGCACUUUCAGCGAGGAGGAAAGGUUGGUAGCUAAUAACUGCCAGCUGUGACGUUACUCGCAGAAGAAGCACCGGCUAACUCCGUGCCAGCAGCCGCGGUAAUA
rnacentral:rRNA from 1 species